AGGUGGGGUAGAGGUUGCGAAGCUGAUCAGUACGCGGCGGGAGGUGCAAAGACACCUGUGAACGCUGUGGAAAGGAAGCAUCGCCGAAGUGUUCUGCCGUCUUUGCGGCAGGAGGCUGGGGCCGGACUCGAAGAGGGCCGGAACUGUCACGGGAAAGCUGCCAACUUCCCGUGGAGAGCUAUUUCCAAC
rnacentral:ncRNA from 2 species